AUUUCCGGAUCCGCUGCUCCUUCGCUGGUUCUGCCGCCUGAUUCGGAUUCUGGAUUCCCCUAUUUUCUCUCUCUUUUUUUGGUUUUGGUGAAGUUAAUCGGAUGUUUCUUGUCUUGGAUCUGAAGUCUGAGUUAUUUUGCUGGUUCUGCCGCCUGACUCGGAUUUUGGAUUCCCCUAUUUUCUCUCUCUUUUUUUUUGGUUUUGGUGAAGUUAAUCGGAUGUUUCUUGUCUUGGAUCUGAAGUCUGAGUUAUUCAUGAUUGGAGACUCGUGAAAGAUCUCAAUUUGAUCGUGAGAUUCCAUGGCUGAAAUUUGACUGCUAGUGAUGACUUGCAAUUUCUUUCGAACACGAUGAACUAUUCCCUUCCGUCGCUUCCGUUCGUUCGAAAUCAAUUUGAUUGUAAACGUUCAUCUUGGUUCAUGUUGUUGAUAGUAUGUGAAUGUAGGUCGAUUUCUCUGGAUACUGGGUUCUUUUCUUGCUGUACCUUUAUGACUAAGGGUAAUAUGAUUCAUCGAUUAACUAGUCAAUCGAUUAGCUCUAGUUCAGCUUGCUUUAUUUUAUUCUGAUUUUUGUGCUUUACUGCCCCUGCGACCGAAAUCUGAGGCAGAAACCAAAAAGGAGAAGUUUACUCAAAUCGUUUUAAUCUGGUUGUUGAAUCCAGAGAGUGGUACCUGCCGAUUAGUUAUUACUAAGAAGAGAAAACUGUAUGGUGCACCUACUUCUGCCCGGAUGAUCAAUAUUUAUGGAUAUCUUUUAAGUUGUAAAUUUUGUGGUUCUGUUUCAUGCCCUUGUAUCUCAGUGAAAAAAAAAUGUAUUGGCAGCCUGAUCUGACAAUGAAUUGUCAUAUUACAGUUCGUGAUGCAGAAUGAUUAGUUCUAUCUUUUUCAGAA